GACGUAGGGCGCGAGCGUUGUCCGGAUUUAUUGGGCGUAAAGAGCUCGUAGGCGGCUUGUUGCGUCGGCUGUGAAAACCCGCGGCUUAACCGCGGGCCUGCAGCCGAUACGGGCAGACUGGAGGUAUGCAGGGGAGAACGGAAUUCCUGGUGUAGCGGUGAAAUGCGCAGAUAUCAGGAGGAACACCGGUGGCGAAGGCGGUUCUCUGGGCAUGUCCUGACGCUGAGGAGCGAAAGUGUGGGGAGCGAACAGG
rnacentral:rRNA from 1 species